rnacentral:tRNA from 1 species
GCCCGAAUGGUGGAAUGGCAGACACAGGAGACUUAAAAUCUCCCGAUCCAAAAGGUCGUGCCGGUUCAAGUCCGGCUUCGGGCA